rnacentral:rRNA from 1 species
GGAGACAGACAUCGGGUGCUAACGUCCGGUGUCAAGAGGGAAACAACCCAGACCGCCAGCUAAGGUCCCCAAAUAUAGCUAAGUGGGAAACGAAGUGGGAAGGCUAAAACAGUCAGGAGGUUGGCUUAGAAGCAGCCACCCUUUAAAGAAAGCGUAAUAGCUCACUGAUCGAGUCGUCCUGCGCGGAAGAUGUAACGGGGCUAAGCUAUAUACCGAAGCUGCGGACGCACGCAAGUGCGUGGUAGGAGAGCGUUCUGUAAGCCUGUGAAGGUGUCUUGUAAAGGAUGCUGGAGGUAUCAGAAGUGCGAAUGCUGACAUGAGUAGCGAUAAAGGGGGUGAAAGGCCCCCUCGCCGUAAGCCCAAGGUUUCCUACGCAACGUUCAUCGGCGUAGGGUGAGUCGGCCCCUAAGGCGAGGCAGAGAUGCGUAGCUGAUGGGAAGCAGGUUAAUAUUCCUGCACCGUCG